UACGUAGGGGCCGAGCGUUGUCCGGAGUUACUGGGCGUAAAGCGCGCGCAGGCGGCCCGCCAGGUCCGGCGUGAAAGCCCCCGGCUCAACCGGGGAGGGUCGUCGGGGACCGGCGGGCUCGAGGGCGGCAGGGGCCGGUGGAAUUCCCGGUGUAGUGGUGAAAUGCGUAGAGAUCGGGAGGAACACCCGUGGCGAAGGCGGCCGGCUGGGCCGUCCCUGACGCUGAGGCGCGAAGGCGUGGGGAGCGAACGGG
rnacentral:rRNA from 1 species